UACUUCCCUAAAGUGAGAAAUGAGAAAGAAACAAAAAAUAGCACCCCUGCGCAAGGAUGACACGCAAAUUCGUGAAGCGUUCCAUAUUUUU
rnacentral:snRNA from 1 species